rnacentral:lncRNA from 1 species
GAGAACAGAGUAUAUAGAUUUUUGGGCUUACUUUUAAUUUCAUGUUGGUACCAAAUAAAAAAAAUUAUAAUAUAAAAAAGGAAAAAAAGAAACGAUUUUACCUUCUUGAAGCUUUUGCUAAGGUCUAAAUCUAGUUAUUAACGACCUCAUCUCGAAGUGGGUAUACGUUUGGAGCCUCCAUAACCAUUGACCAUAAACAACACCUGAUGAACUCGACAUGUGAUUUGUUAGGCACCAAGUAAAUUUUAAUAAUGUUUUUAUAAAUAAAAAAAAAAUCAGCAAAGCUUUUCGUCUGUAAAAAAAAAAAAAAAAUGAAACAGAACAUGCUAAUACCCAGAAACAUUUGCAAAAAAAAUUACCUUUCUUCUCGUCUCUUCUUUCAUCCUUCCUUUCCAACCACCAAUCUUUAUACGUAACUUCUCUCAUCCAUAAGGUCGUCCAAUGUAUUCUCUUUCAUUCUUCCAUGGUCAGCAGUUUUUCUCUCACCCACU